rnacentral:rRNA from 1 species
UUAAUAAAUUAAUAAGUUAUAUUUAAUAAAAAUAAUUUUAAUUUAAUAAAUAUUUUAAUGGGGGUUAAAGUAUUUUUUAUAGAAAAAAUUUUUAAAUUUAUAGUUUAUUAGUAUUGUGAAAGAAUUUUGAAAUAAUUGAAAAUAUAAUUUUAAUAAAGUAAUUUUUAUUUAAUGUAUCUUGUGUAUCAGAGUUUAUUUAAAAUUUAUAAUGUUUAUUUUCUCGAAUUUAAAAGAGUUAAAUAAUUAUUAAAGUUAUUGUAGCAAAAAUAUUUUAAAUAAUUAUUUAGAAAUGAAAUGUUAAUCGUUUUUAAAUAUAUCUAGUUUUUAUAGAAAAAAUUUUAAUUUUAAAUUUAAUUUAUUAUUAAUUAAUUAAUUAAUUAAAUAAUCAUUUAAAUUUUAUAUUUUAAGGGAUAAGCUUUAAAUUAAAUUUUUAUAAUUAAAAUAAUUUAUUUUUGAAAAUUUUAUGAUUUAUAUUGUUAAUAAAUUUUAUUUUAUUAUAAAUAAUUUCAUUAUAAUAUAAAAUUUAAAUUUUUAUUUAAUUUUUUAUAUAAAAUUUAUUUUUAAUUAUAAAAAAUUAGUUAUAAUGAUAAAAUUAGUAUAUUUAUAAUUAUUUUUAAUUAAUUUAAUUAAUUAAAAGGAAUUCGGCAAAUAUUUAUUUUCACUUGUUUAUCAAAAACAUGUCUUUUUGUUUAUAUAAAGUCUAAUCUGCCCACUGAUAUUAAAGGGCUGCAGUAUUUUGACUGUACAAAGGUAGCAUAAUCAUUAGUCUCUUAAUUGGUGACUUGUAUGAAAGAUUGGAUGAGAAAUAUACUGUCUCUUAAUUAAUAUAUAGAAUUUAAUUUUUUAUUUAAAAAGUUAAAAUAAAUUAAAAAGACGAGAAGACCCUAUAGAGUUUAAUAAAAAUAAUUUUAUAAAUUAAUUUAUUUUAUUGGGGUGAUAGAAAAAUAAAUUUAACUUUUUUUAAAAAUUUAACAAAAAUAAAUGAUUAUUUGAUCCAAUUUAUUAUUGAUUAUAAGAUUAAAUUACCUUAGGGAUAACAGCGUAAUUUUUUUUUUUAGUUCAAAUAGUAAAAAAAGUUUGCGACCUCGAUGUUGGAUUAAGAUAAAAUUUAAAUGCAAAAGUUUAAAAUUUUUGAUCUGUUCGAUCAUUAAAAUCU